GUUCAUUGCUGUUGAGAACGUGGAGGCUGAGCCCAAACUACGUUUGGUUUCCCUCUCCCACUAAGAUCACCUGAUAGAAGCUUCUGGCUUCUGUCUCCUGUUCCCAGCACCUGGGCGUGUGUUGGGUGAGGGCAAAGAGGGCUUCUGUGCCCCUACACUGGGACCCCUCCUAAGGCGUCUAAUGACAUUGGUGGCUGCCUUACUGAGUGUCUGUGAUGUGUGGCUGGACCUGCUCUUGUCGCAGCCCCUGAGGGCGCUGAGAUGAUUGCCUCCCUUUCUUGGAGGAGGGGAACGCGGAGCAGAGGGAUGCAGUCGCAAGCACUGGGGGCGUUAGGACUUGCACCUGGGAAUGGCUGGGUCAGGAGGAACCGAGGGGCUAUCCUGAUUCUGCACGCGGAGUGCAGAAGAAAACUGGGAAUCGGAAUGAGGAACAAACUGGCCACAAAGUGGGGGAACAACUGAAGGCUGGUGAGGGUGCAGAGCCCCCGUGGAGAGCCCAAGCGCUGACCAUUGUUUACAGGGUCCAGAGGUCCUUUUGAUUGCUGGACACAGCAUCAUGACCCUCGGAGAGAUGAAUGGCAGAACUCUGUUACUUCCAGCUUCUCUGAGAGGCGGUGGCCAGACAGGCCCACAUGGGGAUUGCAGCCGGGACAGGACCAACUGACAUUGUGAACAGGCUAUCCCCUCUGUUUCCCAGCGGAGGAGACUGAGGCACAGAAAGCUGAAAUGACUGAGGGGAAGACACAAAGGCAUCCGGGCCAGCCCUAGAAGUCUCGGGGUCAACUCUGAGUGUGAAGAAGUGCUCUGCAGCACCCUUGGGGAUCCCCAGUGAUGCCCUCCCCUCGCCACGCUGUGGAGGAAGCUGCGGAGUCCUUGGUCUCGGUGCUGCGGUCGGCUUGCUGUGUGUCGGGGCGGUCACAUGCCUCUCUGAGCUUUGGUUUCAUCAUCUGGGAAAGGAUGGCAUUAGUCUUAAUCACGGACGGCAAACCAGUGAUUCGUGAGCUCAAUGUGGUUUUUCGAAUCACCCGUUUUCCCCUUCCUUUCUUGUGGACGUUUCAAACUCGCGUGAAGCAGAGGGAUGAGUCCAGCGGAAGUUCACAGCUCAGCUUCUACGAUUAUGAACAUGCACCUGGUUUUGUUCCAACUAUUUCUACUCUCCACCCACGUUCCCCCUAGAUUAUAUCAGAGCCAAUUACAG
rnacentral:lncRNA from 1 species